CCGACCCAGGCUGAAAUCUCGCCCUGGCCACGCUUCCCCAGCGCCGGAGUCCACACCUGCUCUGCGCUCUGGCUACACAUCUCCUGUCGCUGCCACGCGCCUGCACGCUAACUUGCCGACGCCUCUGCCCUCCGCCUGCUCCACCAUCUUUGUUACGCCCCUCAGAGCAACAAGGCACGCCCACACGUUCCCAGGCCACCCACUUUUGGUUCCACUCUGGUCACGCCUCUCCCGCCAGUUGCACGCUCUCUGCGCUCCUUUUA
rnacentral:lncRNA from 1 species